rnacentral:rRNA from 1 species
UAGGGAAUCUUCCGCAAUGGACGCAAGUCUGACGGAGCAACGCCGCGUGAGUGAAGAAGGAUUUCGGUUCGUAAAACUCUGUUGUUAGAGAAGAACAGCGCAUAGAGUAACUGUUAUGCGUGUGACGGUAUCUAACCAGAAAGCCACGGCUAACUACGUGCCAGCAGCCGCGGUAAUACGUAGGUGGCAAGCGUUGUCCGGAUUUAUUGGGCGUAAAGCGAGCGCAGGCGGUCAAUUAAGUCUGAUGUGAAAGCCCCCGGCUCAACCGGGGAGAGUCAUUGGAAACUGGUUGACUUGAGUGCAGAAGAGGAGAGUGGAAUUCCAUGUGGAGCGGUGAAAUGCGUAGAUAUAUGGAGGAACACCAGUGGCGAAGGCGACUCUCUGGUCUGUAACUGACGCUGAGGCUCGAAAGCGUGGGUAGCAAACAGG